rnacentral:rRNA from 1 species
CCUACGGGCGGCAGCAGUGGGGAAUAUUGGACAAUGGGGGCAACCCUGAUCCAGCCAUGCCGCGUGUGUGAAGAAGGCCCUCGGGUUGUAAAGCACUUUCAGUGAGGAAGAACGCCUGGUGGUUAAUACCCAUCAGGAAAGACAUCACUCACAGAAGAAGCACCGGCUAACUCCGUGCCAGCAGCCGCGGUAAUACGGAGGGUGCGAGCGUUAAUCGGAAUUACUGGGCGUAAAGCGCGCGUAGGUGGCUUGAUAAGCCGGUUGUGAAAGCCCCGGGCUCAACCUGGGAACGGCAUCCGGAACUGUCAAGCUUGAGUGCAGGAGAGGAAGGUAGAAUUCCCGGUGUAGCGGUGAAAUGCGUAGAGAUCGGGAGGAAUACCAGUGGCGAAGGCGGCCUUCUGGACUGACACUGACACUGAGGUGCGAAAGCGUGGGUAGCAAACAGGAUUAGAUACCCUGGUAGUC